rnacentral:rRNA from 1 species
GACAGGGGGUGCAAGCGUUACUCGGAAUUACUGGGCGUAAAGUGCGUGUAGGCGGUCUAUUAAGUCAACUGUGAAAGCCCCCGGCUCAAUCGGGGAAGUGCAGUGGAUACUGCUAGACUAGAGUGCAGGAGAGGAGGGUGGAAUUCCCGGUGUAGAUGUGAAAUUCGUAGAACUCGGGAGGAACAACAGAGGCGAAGGCGGCCCUCUGGACUGCAACUGACGCUUGGGAGCGAAAGCGUGGGGAGCAAGCGAG